CCCUUAGAUGUUCUGGGCCGCACGCGCGCUACACUGAUACGUUCAACGAGUUUACAACCUUGAUCGAAGGGUCUGGGUAAUCUUUUGAAUGCGUAUCGUGCUAGGGAUAGACUAUUGCAAUUAUUAGUCUUGAACGAGGAAUUCCUAGUAAACGCAAGUCAUCAGCUUGCAUUGAUUACGUCCCUGCCCUUUGUACACACCGCCCGUCGCUCCUACCGAUUGAAUGUUCCGGUGAGCUCUUCGGACUGCGCGGUCUGCAGUUUCUGCGUUCCGUGCGGAAAGUUGCGCAAACCUUAACAUUUAGAGGAAGGAGAAGUCGUAACA
rnacentral:rRNA from 1 species